rnacentral:rRNA from 1 species
GAUGAACGCUAGCUACAGGCUUAACACAUGCAAGUCGAGGGACCGGCGCACGGGUGAGUAACACGUAUCCCACCUGCCCUUUACUCGGGGAUAGCCUUUCGAAAGAAAGAUUAAUACCCGAUGUAAUGGAUGGGGAUGCGUUCCAUUAGGUUGUUGGUGAGGUAACGGCUCACCAAGCCUUCGAUGGAUAGGGGUUCUGAGAGGAAGGGCCCCCACAGUGGAACUGAGAAACGGUCCAAACGCAUACGGGAGGCAGGAGUGAGGAAUAUUGGUCAAUGGACGUUAGCCUGAACCAGCCAAGUAGCGUGAAGGAUGAAGGCGUAUGGGUCGUAAACUUCUUGUAGAUAAGAAUAGGUAUUAGAUGAAUAAGGACCGGCUAACUCCGUGCCAGCAGCCGCGGUAAUUC